rnacentral:tRNA from 1 species
GGAGGGGUGACCGAGAGGCUGAUGGUGCCGCUCUCGAAAAGCGGUGUGGGCUUACGCUCACCGGGGGUUCGAAUCCCUCCCCCUCCGCCA